GGCCAAGUUUUUAAGGGCGCACGGUGGAUGCCUUGGCACCAGGAACCGAUGAAGGACGUGGGAGGCCACGAUAGUCCCCGGGAGUCGUCAACCAGGCUUUGAUCCGGGGGUUUCCGAUGGGAAACCCGGCAGUCGUCAUGGGCUGUCACCGCUGCUGAACACAUAGGCAGUGUGGAGGGAACGCGGGGAAGUGAAACAUCUCAGUACCCGCAGGAAGAGAAAACAACCGUGAUUCCGGGAGUAGUGGCGAGCGAAACCGGAUGAGGCCAAACCGUAUGCGUGUGAGACCCGGCAGGGGUUGCGUAUACGGGGUUGUGGGAUCUCUCUUUCACGGUCUGCCGGCCGUGAGACGAGUCAGAAACCGUUGAUGUAGGCGAAGGACAUGCGAAAGGUCCGGCGUAGAGGGUAAGACCCCCGUAGUCGAAACGUCAGCGGCUCGUUUGAGAGACACCCAACGUAGCACGGGCCCGAGAAUCCCGUGUGAAUCUGCGGGACACCCGCUAGGCCUAAAUAUUCCCUGGUGACCGAUAGCGGAUAGUACCGUGAGGGAAUGGUGAAAAGUACCGCGGGAGCGGAGUGAAAUAGUACCUGAAACCGUGUGCCUACAAGCCGUGGGAGCGUCGGAUGGAAGCUUGCUUCCAUCUCGUGACUGCGUGCCUUUUGAAGAAUGAGCCGCGAGUUUGCGGUGUGUUGCGAGGUUAACCCGGGUGGGGAAGCCGUAGCGAAAGCGAGUCCGAAUAGGGCGUUUCAGUAGCACGCUCAAGACCCGAAGCGGAGUGAUCUAGCCAUGGGCAGGUUGAGGCGGAGGUAAGACUUCGUGGAGGACCGAACCCACCAGGGUUGAGAACCUGGGGGAUGACCUGUGGUUAGGGGUGAAAGGCCAAUCAAACUCCGUGAUAGCUGGUUCUCCCCGAAAUGCAUUUAGGUGCAGCGUCGUGUGUUUCUUGCCGGAGGUAGAGCACUGGAUAGGCGAUGGGCCCUACCGGGUUACUGACCUUAGCCAAACUCCGAAUGCCGGUAAGUGAGAGCGCGGCAGUGAGACUGUGGGGGAUAAGCUCCAUGGUCGAGAGGGAAACAGCCCAGAGCAUCGACUAAGGCCCCUAAGCGUACGCUAAGUGGGAAAGGAUGUGGAGUCGCACAGACAACCAGGAGGUUGGCUUAGAAGCAGCCACCCUUGAAAGAGUGCGUAAUAGCUCACUGGUCUAGUGAUUCCGCGCCGACAAUGUAGCGGGGCGUCAAGCGUACCGCCGAAGUCGUGUCAUUGCAGCAAUACGGCCAACGCCGGCUGUGAUGGGUAGGGGUGCGUCGUGUGCCGGGUGAAGCAGCACCGGAAGGUAGUUGUGGACGGUUCACGAGUGAGAAUGCAGGCAUGAGUAGCGAUUCACACGUGAGAAACGUGUGCGCCGAUUGACUAAGGGUUCCUGGGUCAAGCUGAUCUGCCCAGGGUAAGUCGGGACCUAAGGCGAGGCCGACAGGCGUAGUCGAUGGAUAACCGGUUGAUAUUCCGGUACCCGCUGUGAAGCGUCAAACAUCGAAUCCAGUGAUGCUAAGCCCGUGAAGCCGUUCCGGACCCUUCGGGGAAAGGAAGUGGUGGAGCCGGUGACC
rnacentral:ncRNA from 1 species